UAGAAUGGAGGUUUUUACUAGUCUCGAAU
rnacentral:piRNA from 1 species